CAGACCUAUGAUUGUAUCCUAAGGAAGACCUGGAAACAAUCUAUCAAGGGGCAAACAGAGAAAGCGCUGUAUAUUUGCCCUUAGCUGGGAAUCACUCACCGCCAGCCGACUCGCCCAAUUCGGUCUUUAAAGAUAAAAGAGCAGGGGAGAAUUGGUCCUAAGCAAUCUCCUGGAAUAGUGAAUUUAAUUCUGGACUACAGGAAAUUCCCAGGACUGGCCAGACCCCAUAAAACAUGGGUGAAACUUGCUGUCCACACUUCUUUCCUCCUCCAACCCAUGUUUACUACAUCCAGUGUCUCCCUCUUUCGCCGGAGCCUCCAGGAAAGUGACACACUCGGCCCAGAAGUCUGAGGCCCCUGGAGUCUCGCUCAGAGCCUGUCUCACGACUGAGGCAGCGGAGACCCGCGGCUCCCUGCCUAAGCUCCCGCGCUCACCCGGGGCUGAUUUUACACAACAGCCAGGCAAGGAGACCCAGCUGCAGAAUUCUCCCCUACUUGGAGAUUACCUCAUGACAGACAUCUAUAAACUGACUGCAACUGAGAUGGCACCAGCCAGCACUCCAAGUGGACAACAACUCAAAAUAACCCUUGGAAGAAGACAUGCAGACCCUCUCAAUGCCUUCUCAGCUUGCAUACUUUGAUGAAACAAGCAGCUGGGUUAAGAGAUGUCCAUGUCGCAAGGAAAUGAGGGCAGCCUCCAUCAACAGCCAGCAAACAACUGAGGCUCUCAGUCUGACAGCCCAUGAGUAACUGAAUCCUGCCAACAAGCAUGCAAGCUUGGAAGCAGAUCCUUCCCCAGUCAAGCUUUUGAAUGCAACCUCAGCCCCUGCUGACACUUAAUGGUGCCUUGUGAGGGCCCUGUAGGCAGUGGAGCAAGCUAAGCUGUACCUGGAUUCAUGACCCACACAAACUGGGAGGCAACAAAUGUGUGUUGUUUUACACCACAAAAUUUGUGGUAAUUUGUUACACAGUGACAGAUUAAUACAAGUACUGAGUGGGGAAGGUUGCAUAUACCAUUCAGCCAAAGCUCUCUUGUUAACUGGAACCACCCUAAUUACAAGAUAAUUUAAUGAAUGACUGUGUUACCUGAACACACCCUUCAGAGACCCCAUCACUUGCAUGAGUCAGAGCUCUAUGGGCUUCAAGUGACAGAAAUCCAUUCUAAUUAGCUUAAGUAAAAAAGGGAUUUGUUGAUUUACAUACCUGAGAGGCCAAGGGUGUACCAAGCACCCUCAAUUUCAGAUCUACUAAAAAGGACUCUGACUGGCCCUUUUUAGAUACAUGCCAAUCAUUAAAGAUUUAAUGUAUCUAUAAUAAGAUACUAUAUAAUAAGAUAUUAGGACCAAUCAUUGUGUCUAGUUGGAUAGAGUUCUCUGAGUGGUUGGCUUGGGUUUCAUGCCUACCCUUGCGGUGGAGAAGGGGAGAAGAACAUUACAUUUGAAAGCCUUAUCAUGUAAUAUACAGAUAGUUACCCAAAGAAAUUUUUUUUUUUUUUUGCUCUAAAAAGGCGAGAAUGUACACAGGGCAGGCAGGCAAAACAACAGCUGUCUACUAUACUGCCUACUACCCAGCUGGGAGGCAAAGUGACUCCAUCUUGGAUGCUAACCUGCCAUGUUGACUUCUGAUUAGCCACAAUCCUGUGAAUAUCUCCUGAUUCCUACUUUAUUUACUGUUUGUGUAUAAGAACAUGUCAACCUUGAUGUUAUCACACACAUUUUUGCCUGUUUGGGAGGGUCGCCUUUAAUUGUCUUGCUGGAGCAUGUAUACCAUUUUCCUGUCAUAUUCAUAUAUAAGCCUUGGGUCAGCAGAGUAACAGUGCAAAGAUUUACCUGUCUUGUGGCUGCCUAAGACCACACUUCUAUCUGUAAGUUCCCCCAAUAAAACACUCUUUGCCAACA
rnacentral:lncRNA from 1 species